AAGCGGUGGAUUAUGUGGAUUAAUUCGAUGCAACGCGAAAACCUUACCUACCCUUGACAUGUCCUGAAGCCUGGAGAGAUCCGGGUGUGCCCGAAAGGGAACGGGAACACAGGUGCUGCAUGGCUGUCGUCAGCUCGUGUCGUGAGAUGUUGGGUUAAGUCCGCUAACGAGCGCAACCCUCGCUGUAUGUUACAUGUGUCAUACAGGACCGCCGGUAUCAAGCCGGAGGAAGGUGGGGAUGACGUCAAGUCCGCAUGGCCUUUAUGUCCGGGGCUACACACACGCUACAAUGGUCGGUACAAUGGGUUGCUAAGCCGCGAGGUGGAGCCAAUCCCCCAAAGCCGGCCUCAGUUCAGAUUGCAGGCUGCAACUCGCCUGCAUGAAGCUGGAGUUGCUAGUAAACGCGCGUCAGCUAUAGUGCGUUGAAUACGUUCUCGGGCCUU
rnacentral:rRNA from 1 species